AGUGAACGCUGGCGGUAGGCCUAACACAUGCAAGUCGAACGGCAGCACAGUAAGAGCUUGCUCUUACGGGUGGCGAGUGGCGGACGGGUGAGGAAUACAUCGGAAUCUACUUUUUCGUGGGGGAUAACGUAGGGAAACUUCCGCUACUACCGCAUACGACCUACGGGUGAAAGCAGGGGAUCUUCGGACCUUGCGCGUUUGAAUGAGCCGAUGUCGGAUUCGCUAGUUGGCGGGGUAAAGGCCCACCAAGGCGACGAUCCGUAGCUGGUCUGAGAGGAUGAUCAGCCACACUGGAACUGAGACACGGUCCAGACUCCUACGGGAGGCAGCAGUGGGGAAUAUUGGACAAUGGGCGCAAGCCUGAUCCAGCCAUACCGCGUGGGUGAAGAAGGCCUUCGGGUUGUAAAGCCCUUUUGUUGGGAAAGAAAAGCAGCAGGUUAAUACCCCGCUGUUCUGACGGUACCCAAAGAAUAAGCACCGGCUAACUUCGUG
rnacentral:rRNA from 1 species